CACCUCCCUUACAAGGAGGGGGUCGGCGGUUCGAUCCCGUCAUCACCCACCA
rnacentral:tRNA from 2 species